UGGGGAAUCUUGCGCAAUGGGCGAAAGCCUGACGCAGCGACGCCGCGUGCGGGAAGAAGGCCUUCGGGUUGUAAACCGCUUUCAGGAGGGACGAAGCCACUCGGGUUAAUAGCCUAGAGGGUGACGGUACCUCCAGAAGAAGCCCCGGCUAACUACGUGCCAGCAGCCGCGGUAAUACGUAGGGGGCUAGCGUUGUCCGGAUUUAUUGGGCGUAAAGAGCGUGUAGGCGGCCAGGUAGGUCUGGUGUGAAAACUCGAGGCUUAACCUCGAGAUGUCAUCGGAAACCAUUUGGCUAGAGUCCGGAAGAGGAAAGUGGAAUUCCUGGUGUAGCGGUGAAAUGCGCAGAUAUCAGGAAGAACACCAAUGGCGAAGGCAGCUUUCUGGGACGGUACUGACGCUGAGACGCGAAAGCGUGGGGAGCGAACAGGAUUAGAUACCCUGGUAGUCCACGCCGUAAACGAUGGGCGCUAGGUGUGGGCGGUGUCGACUCCGUCCGUGCCG
rnacentral:rRNA from 1 species